rnacentral:tRNA from 1 species
GGUGCAGUGUCUUAGUGGGGAGGAGUCCUGGUCUUGAAAACCAGUGUCCUGAAAGGGGCUGAGAGUUCAAAUAUCUCCUGCACUG